rnacentral:rRNA from 1 species
AUUGAACGCUGGCGGCAUGCCUUACACAUGCAAGUCGAACGGCAGCACGGGUGCUUGCACCUGGUGGCGAGUGGCGAACGGGUGAGUAAUACAUCGGAACAUGUCCUGUAGUGGGGGAUAGCCCGGCGAAAGCCGGAUUAAUACCGCAUACGAUCCACGGAUGAAAGCGGGGGACCUUCGGGCUUCGCGCUAUAGGGUUGGCCGAUGGCUGAUUAGCUAGUUGGUGGGGUAAAGGCCUACCAAGGCGACGAUCAGUAGCUGGUCUGAGAGGACGACCAGCCACACUGGGACUGAGACACGGCCCAGACUCCUACGGGAGGCAGCAGUGGGGAAUUUUGGACAAUGGGCGAAAGCCUGAUCCAGCAAUGCCGCGUGUGUGAAGAAGGCCUUCGGGUUGUAAAGCACUUUUGUCCGGAAAGAAAUCCUUGACUCUAAUACAGUCGGGGGAUGACGGUACCGGAAGAAUAAGCACCGGCUAACUACGUG